rnacentral:rRNA from 1 species
GACGAACGCUGGCGGCGUGCCUAAUACAUGCAAGUUGAGCGAUGAAGAUUGGUGCUUGCACCAAUUUGAAGAGCAGCGAACGGGUGAGUAACGCGUGGGGAAUCUGCCUUUGAGCGGGGGACAACAUUUGGAAACGAAUGCUAAUACCGCAUAACAACUUUAAACAUAAGUUUUAAGUUUGAAAGAUGCAAUUGCAUCACUCAAAGAUGAUCCCGCGUUGUAUUAGCUAGUUGGUGAGGUAAAGGCUCACCAAGGCGAUGAUACAUAGCCGACCUGAGAGGGUGAUCGGCCACAUUGGGACUGAGACACGGCCCAAACUCCUACGGGAGGCAGCAGUAGGGAAUCUUCGGCAAUGGACGAAAGUCUGACCGAGCAACGCCGCGUGAGUGAAGAAGGUUUUCGGAUCGUAAAACUCUGUUGGUAGAGAAGAACGUUGGUGAGAGUGGAAAGCUCAUAAAGUGACGGUAACUACCCAGAAAGGGACGGCUAACUACGUG